rnacentral:rRNA from 1 species
GAUGAACGCUGGCGGCGUGCCUAAUACAUGCAAGUCGAGCGAACGGACGAGAAGCUUGCUUCUCUGAUGUUAGCGGCGGACGGGUGAGUAACACGUGGAUAACCUACCUAUAAGACUGGGAUAACUUCGGGAAACCGGAGCUAAUACCGGAUGAUAUUUUGAACCGCAUGGUUCAAAAGUGAAAGACGGUCUUGCUGUCACUUAUAGAUGGAUCCGCGCUGCAUUAGCUAGUUGGUAAGGUAACGGCGUACCAAGGCAACGAUGCAUAGCCGACCUGAGAGGGUGAUCGGCCACACUGGAACUGAGACACGGUCCAGACUCCUACGGGAGGCAGCAGUAGGGAAUCUUCCGCAAUGGGCGAAAGCCUGACGGAGCAACGCCGCGUGAGUGAUGAAGGUCUUCGGAUCGUAAAACUCUGUUAUUAGGGAAGAACAUAUGUGUAAGUAACUGUGCACAUCUUGACGGUACCUAAUCAGAAAGCCACGGCUAACUACGUG